rnacentral:lncRNA from 1 species
GUGAAGAAAGUGAACAAGGCAGAUGGAGAUAAAUUCAAAAACAGAGAUCCGAAAGGCUGCUAAGAGAGAAAGGAACAGGAAUCUCCCAGUUCCUGAGAGCCUCCCAGGCUUUCUCCCUCGAUGUUUGGAGUUUUAUGCCUAUGUAAUCAGUGCAGACAGCCGUUAAGUAAAUGAAGAGGCAACUAACAAUGUCAGAAAAGAGACCGGGCGGUUCCGGCUGACACUACCCUAAUCUUCCAGGACCCAUUAAAUGGUAGUUUCAACGCAUUACCUACCAUAACAUCCUUGAAUAUCACUGAUUUUAUUUGCAGUAUCAAACAUUCCAUUUCAUGCCCCAUUAACAGUGGGAGCCUGGGCUUUUUGACGCAGCUAAACAUUUUACUAACUACCUGGACUAAGUAACCAAUUAACUUUUGGAGACAAUACGGCCAAUUAAGCGCGAAAAGCAGAAAUAUCAGUGUCCGACAAGAUAUUGCCCUGGUUUUCACUGGCUUGGACUCUUCAGAGAGAAAAACAAAUCCAUGUAU